AACGAACGCUGGCGGCACGCCUAACACAUGCAGGUCGAGCGGCAGCGCGAUAUGUAGCAAUACAUAUUGGCGGCGAGCGGCGGACGGGUGAGGAACACGUAGGAACCUACCCUCGAGUGGGGGAUAACCAAGGGAAACUUUGGCUAAUACCGCAUGAACUCGAGAGAGCAAAGCUGCCGCAAGGUGGCGCUCGAGGAGGGGCCGGCGUCCGAUUAGCUAGUUGGUGAGGUAAGAGCUCACCAAGGCGAUGAUCGGUAACUGGUCUGAGAGGACGACCAGUCACACUGGGACUGAGACACGGCCCAGACUCCUACGGGAGGCAGCAGUGGGGAAUAUUGGACAAUGGGGGCAACCCUGAUCCAGCGAUGCCGCGUGAGUGAAGAAGGCCUUCGGGUCAUAAAGCUCUUUAGGUUGGGAAGAAGGGUGAUGGAGGAAAUGCUAUCACUUUGACGGUACCGACAGAAUAAGCACCGGCAAACUCUGUGCCAGCCGCCGCAGUAAUAC
rnacentral:rRNA from 1 species